CCUACGGGAGGCAGCAGUGGGGAAUAUUGGGCAAUGGGCGCAAGCCUGACCCAGCAACGCCGCGUGAAGGAAGAAGGCUUUCGGGUUGUAAACUUCUUUUCUCAGGGACGAAGCAAGUGACGGUACCUGAGGAAUAAGCCACGGCUAACUACGUGCCAGCAGCCGCGGUAAUACGUAGGUGGCAAGCGUUAUCCGGAUUUACUGGGUGUAAAGGGCGUGUAGGCGGGAAAGCAAGUCAGAUGUGAAAACCAUGGGCUCAACCUGUGGCCUGCAUUUGAAACUGUUUUUCUUGAGUACUGGAGAGGCAGACGGAAUUCCUAAUGUAGCGGUGAAAUGCGGAGAUAUUAGGAGGAACACCAGUGGCGAAGGCGGUCUGCUGGACAGCAACUGACGCUGAGGCGCGAAAGCGUGGGGAGCAAACAGGAUUAGAUACCCUUGUAGUC
rnacentral:rRNA from 1 species